AUUACUCCUACGGGAGGCAGCAGUGGGGAAUAUUGGACAAUGGGCGAAAGCCUGAUGCAGCAACGCCGCGUGAGGGAUGACGGCCUUCGGGUUGUAAACCUCUUUUAGCAGGGAAGAAGCGAAAGUGACGGUACCUGCAGAAAAAGCGCCGGCUAACUACGUGCCAGCAGCCGCGGUAAUAAU
rnacentral:rRNA from 1 species